UACGAACUGUGCGAACGUUAUUCGGAAUCACUGGGCUUAAAGGGUGCGUAGGCGGCGGCACAAGUCAGGUGUGAAAUCCCCCGGCUCAACCGGGGAACAGCGCUUGAAGCUAGGUCGCUCGAGUGAGGCAGGGGUAUGUGGAACUUCCGGUGGAGCGGUGAAAUGUGUAGAUAUCGGAAGGAACGCCGGCGGCGAAAGCGGCAUACUGGGCCUUGUCUGACGCUGAGGCACGAAAGCCAGGGGAGUGAAC
rnacentral:rRNA from 1 species